UUUUUAAAUUGCUGUGGUAUUUUGACUAUACAAAGGUAUUGAAAUAAGAUUUUAAUUGAAUGCUAAGAGAAUGGAAGUCCAGAAAAAAACUUUUUUUAAAUUAAAAAUUGAAGUUUUUUUAAUUUGUGCAGAAACAAUUAUUUAUAUUAAAGACAAGAAGACCCUAUGAAUUUAUUAAAUUUUUAUUUAAUAUGUAAUUACUAUUAGAAAAAUUUUGGCUGGGGCGGCUAGAAAAUAUUAUAAACUUUUUAAAAAUAAAAUGAUCCAUUAUUAAUGAUUUUAUGUUAAAUACUCUAGGGAUAACAGCGUAAA
rnacentral:rRNA from 1 species